ensembl:misc_RNA Metazoa_SRP Metazoan signal recognition particle RNA
GCCGGGCGCGGUGGCGCGCGCCUGUAGUCCCAGCUACUCGGGAGGCUGAGGCAGGAGGAUCGCUUGAGCCCAGGAGUUCUGGGCUGUAGUGCGCUAUGCCGAUCGGGUGUCCGCACUAAGUUCGGCAUCAAUAUGGUGACCUCCCGGGAGCGGGGGGCCACCAGGUUGCCUAAGGAGGGGUGAACCGGCCCAGGUCGGAAACGGAGCAGGUCAAAACUCCCGUGCUGAUCAGUAGUGGGAUCGCGCCUGUGAAUAGCCACUGCACUCCAGCCUGGGCAACAUAGCGAGACCCCGUCUCUU